CAAUAAUACACCCAAUGUGCCAAUCUAACCCAGAUAAAUCAAUUGUAUAUGUUUAUGUUCUGGUCAUGGCUGGUCUCUCUAGUACACAUCAGUCCUGAAUAAACCAGUUGGUCUUUUCAACUCUGAGCAUUGCUGACCAGCGGGUGCAACACUUGGUAGGGGAAGAGCACUUCGUCUCCAAAUGCCAAGUAUCUACAGUGACACCGUGAAAGGGAGGGGGAGGACGAGAGCUGAACAGUGAGCAAUAGUUCACUGGAUGUGGGAUACAGAGUGGGAUCUGCAGCAGAACAAGAUCAGAUAGCUGAUAUACCAAGAAAGUGUGAUACUGUCGACUGCCCAUGACUCUGAAAAUAAGCUGUGAGGGACAAAUUUUGUGAUUGGAUUGGACCCUAAAGGCCAUGAGGAUAGAGUGGUUCUACCCGUAACAAAAGAGAAGAUUUGAAGAAAGCCUGAGGAGAAGGAUGCAGCAGUUUGGCUAAAAGACCUGGGGGAAAAAGGAAAAUUGGAAAUCAAUAUUUAUUGGGAACACUUGCAUACAAGGAAAAUACUUUUGUGCCUCACUUCUCAAUUCCAGUUGACACUGACACUGUUUUGGGCGGAGCUGUGCACUUCCUCUGAGCCUGGUCAGUUUUGUAUGAUCCAAGCUGAUAGUGUGAAGCCACG
rnacentral:lncRNA from 1 species